UCAUACUGAUUCUGUCUCCUAACACUUU
rnacentral:sRNA from 1 species